rnacentral:rRNA from 1 species
UGCUACUUUACCUAGCGGCGGACGGGUGAGUAAUGCUUAGGAAUCUGCCUAUUAGUGGGGGACAACAUUUCGAAAGGAAUGCUAAUACCGCAUACGUCCUACGGGAGAAAGCAGGGGACCUUCGGGCCUUGCG